rnacentral:rRNA from 1 species
AUACGUAGGAUGCGAGCGUUGUCCGGAUUUAUUGGGCGUAAAGAGCGCGCAGGCGGUUAGGAAAGAUGGGUGUGAAAGACCCUGGCUUAACUAGGGGAGGUCACUCAAGACUAUCUAACUUGAGGGCAGCAGAGGAAAGUGGAAUUCCCGGUGUAGUGGUGAAAUGCGUAGAUAUCGGGAGGAACACCAGUGGCGAAGGCGGCUUUCUGGGCUGUCACUGACGCUGAGGCGCGAAAGCGUGGGUAGCGAACCGAAUUAGAUACUCGGGUAGUCCACGCCGUAAACGAUGGACACUAGGUGUAGGGGGUAUCGACCCCCCCUGUGCCGAAGCUAACGCAUUAAGUGUCCCGCCUGGGGAGUACGGCCGCAAGGCUAAA